AAACACAAGCCAAGGACCAGGCCAGGCUUCAAUAUUUGUCGAGCCUGGUGGCUAAGAAAUCUGUGGUGCCGAUGGCUUCUGGCAGGCAGAUUGUGCAAAGUCCCACUUAUAUCGUGAGGGCCAACAUUGGAACCCCACCUCAAACCUUGCUUAUGGCCAUGGAUACUAGCAAUGAUGCCGCUUGGAUACCUUGCACUGGCUGCCUUGGCUGCUCUUCUACUGUCUUUGACAAUGCUAAAUCCACCACUUUCCAGUCCCUCGGCUGCCAAGCUCCUCAAUGCAAGCAGGUAACCUCCCAACCUUUCAUUUCUCCGCAACUUCCUAUGAAUGCCAAAACCCUAUCCAUCUUAAGAUUUUACACAGAUUUGCUCCAAACGUGGAUGUUAUUCUUGUAAAGUUUCAGCAGCCAAAGGGUGCAGGAAUAGGCUAAAAUAUUAUUUUUAUUUCCACAUAUUAUUCAAAAAAUCAAUUAAUAUUUAAAAUUUUAAAUUUGAAAAAUAUAAAAAUUAAGAUUUUAACUAAUAAGAUUUUAUUAGUACCAUUUAGAUCUAGAGUAAAAUUAAAAAAAAAUACAUUAAAAUUAAAUAAUUCAAACAAAUAUAUGAAUUAAAUUUAAUUAAAAUAAAAUAUAAAAAUUAAAUUACUUUCAAUUCUCAAUCGGAAAUAAUUUAUUGGCUUAAUACUUAUUAAAUGUAAAUAUUUAAUAUUGAUUUUUUAAUAUGUUUUAGCUGUUGAAUUAGCUUUUGACUGAUUUAAUGUUUAUUUGACUUAUUAUUCACCACUGAUUUCGGAUCCAAUCUGAUUUUUAUCCUUAGCUUUAAUAAAUGAUUGAUGAAACAGAAUUUGGACAAGACAAACCCAACAUCUGCACCACUUUGAUCCAUUGCCAAUCUAACAACUUUCCAUGUACCUUGUCAAUCUAAUAUCUUAAAAGCACUUGCAUGACAUGAUGGAUUCAGGUACAAAAUCCCAGCUGCGAUGGCAGUGGCAACACUUGCAUAUUCAACAUGACCUACGGGGGUUCAACCAUUGCAGCAAACCUCUCACAGGACACAUUCACCUUAGCCAACGACUCUGUCUCGAGCUACACUUUCGGCUGCCUGCAAAAGACAACCGGCAACUCGGUGCCACCACAAGGUCUAUUGGGGCUCGGCCGAGGUCCAUUAUCCCUUCUAUCUCAGACCCAAGACCUGUACCAAUCUACAUUUUCAUACUGUUUGCCUAAUUUUAGGUCCGCCAACUUUUCUGGGUCAUUGAGACUUGGGCCAGUGGGGCAGCCAGUGAGGAUCAAAUACACCCCAUUACUGAAGAACCCGAGGAGACCAUCCCUUUACUUUGUGAAUUUGAUUGGAAUUAGGGUUGGAAACAAAGUUGUUGAUAUCCCACCAUCUGCCAUUGCUUUCAAUCCUACCACCGGUGCUGGCACCAUUAUUGAUUCUGGUAAUUUUUGCCUUUUAUUCUAUCAAAAUAUUUGCUUUUUUUAAAAAAGAAUUAUUUAAUUUUUAUGUGAUGCAAAAUUAUAAAAAAUAAUAUAAUAUAUAAUAUAAUUAAAAUAUAUGUUUAUUAAAUUAAUUCAAACUUUAAAUGUUGAAUUUUUUAAAGCUCUUUUUUGUGUUAGGCAUAAUUCCAAUCUUAUCAGUUGUCUUUAAAGUUGAGAACAUAAUAAUGACAACAUGCUGCAUUAUCGUAUUCCAAUUGCAACUGUUGAAUAUAGUGUACUUACUUUUGAUUUUUUUUUAAAAAUAUUUUCAUUAAAUGUUUCAUGAAAUUUAACUAAAAAAGCGUAAUUUAAAAUAUCACAAUAAUUUUGGCAUGUAAAAUUUCAGGUACCGUUUUCACCCGGCUAGUUGAACCAGCCUAUGUAGCCGUCCGAGACGAGUUUCGAAGACGAGUUAAGGUGGCCAACGUAACAUCUCUUGGCGGUUUCGACACAUGUUACACAGUCCCGAUUGUGGCUCCGACGAUAACGUUCAUGUUCACCAGCAUGAACGUGACACUGCCACAAGACAACCUGUUAAUCCACAGCACAGCAGGCAGCAUCACAUGUUUGGCGAUGGCAUCGGCACCUGAUAAUGUGAAUUCUGUGCUGAAUGUGAUAGCCAAUAUGCAGCAACAGAACCAUAGGAUCCUUUUCGAUGUGCCAAAUUCCAGGUUGGGCGUUGCCCGUGAGCUCUGCACCUAAAUUCUAGCUUUGUUCCCUAAUUUAUUUAUCCCUGUUUUCGUGUAUUUUAUUGUGUGACCAUCGUAUUUAAAGUAUUUAAUAUUUAUGUAAACUUAAAUGUAUUAAUAAUUUGCAACAUUAAAUUUUAAUAUUUGGUAUAUUUGUGUUGAAUUUUUGUACAACAUAUAUAUUACUAAAAUCUAAGUUUAUUUUAUCAACAAGUGGUUGGAAGAAGUGAGAGUGAACUUCUUCUUGAAAUAUUUAAAUCAAGUUUCAAUAUUGGAAUUGACAUUAUAUGGAGGGUUUUACCAAAAUACCACUUCCGGCCUGAACAAUAUUAAACUCAAACAAUAAAAUAGAUGAUAGCACUUGUGCGUAUAAAAAAAAUGUAAAUCAAUUUUUUGCUUUUAAAAAGAAAAAUUCAAAACCAUGGGCUCUGGCAUAUUUAUUCGAGAGCUAAAUUAGUUCAAGUUUAUUCAGCUCAAUUUGUAGAGGUGAAUUUAGGGGGGCUGGGCCCGACUUCCCUAAAUUUUUAAAAUAAUUAUUAAGUCCUCAGGUUUUAAAAUUUUUAUUUUGAUAUUAUAAUUAGUAUUUUUAGAAAAAGAUAAAUUUGUGUUUGGUUCCCCAAAGUUUUUUUUUAAAAUUUGAAUCCUUUAAUAGAAUUUAUAAUUUUUUUAUUAUAAAGUUAGUAACAUUUUUAGUUUAAUUUGGUAAACGAAUACAAUUUAGUAUCUAAAUAUUAAUCUGAUAAAAAUAAAGUUUAAUAAUUGCAAUAACUAAAUAUAAAUGUAUUUAAAUAUUAAUUAAGUAAAAAAAAUUAAAUAAUCAUAAUAUCUAAUACAAAUUGAGCAUUUAACUCUCUUUUUUUUUUCUAAAUUUUGAUAAUAAAAAUUAUCUCGAAUUUAAAAAUAGGCUUAGCCUGUACUUUGAACAUGUAUAUUUUAUAAAAAUACCCCGAUCCCCUCUUAUUAACAAUUCUGACUUCAUCUCUGUCAACUUGAAUUAAAAUUUUAAUAUUAAAAUUAAUAAUUUUAUUUGAAUUGAUUGUAUAAAUAUAUAAACAUGCUUUCAAUAUAUUAUUAUUAUAAAGUAGUGAAAUGGGCAUUUUAAGAUUCAAGCCUGGUUGGAAUAGGUUUAGGUAAAAUUUUCAAAAAAUUGAGCUAUGGGCUGGCUGGAUUGAAAAUGUCCAUAGGUUAGAUCUAACUCAUGUAUAAUAUCAAUGUUGUAAACUUAACUCUAUUCAAGAUAUAAGCUUUGAAUUUUUCUAAAUCUAACUCUAUUCAAGCACGUCACUUUUUAUAAUUUUUUAAAUAUAAAUUAUUAAUUUAAUAUAAUUUUAAUAUUUAUAUUAAAGUAUUUUAUAUUGUUAGAUUUUUUUGAUUUUAACUAAACUUGAAUACAAAUAAAUAAAAAGAUUUAAACAUAAAUGUAUGGGACAUAAAAUAAUGUAGAGGAAAUGAGAAAUUCGGAUCUCACGGGUGUCACUGCUGCUGAAGGGUGUUAUAGGAUCAUACAUUUCCCAAAUCCCAAACUGCAUGCAAAAGAGGAAGUGAAAAUAAAUAAAAUUUUUCAGAUAUUAGUUACACUAAUCUAUGAAACUCGGAUGAAUAUCAUAUAUGAAUAUAUACAAGGUUAUAAUUUAUUUAAAAAUUCAUAUUUCGUAACUGUAUUUCGAAUGUGUUGAAGAAUUGGAGUAAUAUUAAUAUACCUUGGACUUGUAUCACUUUUACUCCUCUGAAUCACUUUCUUCUUCUUCCUCCGUAUCAUAGAUGAAUCUAUUAUCAAUCUGAACAAAAGGGAUGCGAGCAAUGUUGGACCAGUCUUUCCCUUCAUCCCUUCUGCAACUUUCUUUUAACAAUGGACAGUCAUGGAUAUAUAAUUCCAACAAUGACAUAAGCAUGUCUCUUCCGGGCAAACAUUUCAGCUUUGGAAGUUUAACAAUGGACAGACAGUCAAGGAAGGGAAGGUUUUGAAAGCCCUUGGAAGACAGGGUUUCGACAUUUGGGAAAUCGCUGAUGGCGAGUUUGCUUAGAGAACAAGGCAACAUCAUGCCUUUCCCUUCAUGUGGAAACAUUACCCCAUCUGAAUAUCCUCCAUGGAUUGCAAGUCUUUUAAGAGAAGUGAGCUUAUGGAAUCCCCAAUGGAUCAGUCCUUCAAGAAUUUCAGGUUUUGAGAUUGUAAGCGAAGUCAAGUUUGUAGGGAAACCUUCUUCAGGAAAGGUUAAUAAACAUGGACAGUUUGAUAUCUCCAGUUCCUGAAGAUAUGUGAGGCAAUGCAGGCCAUUUGGUAGAGCUUGGAGUAUACGGCACCAGCUUAGAUGCAGCACAUGUAGGCCGGUUGAGGGCAACCUGGAAACCGAAACCAGAUUCCGAAAGCAUUCGAUAUGCAGUUGCUGCAGAUAGCUGAGCUUGUCCAAUCCAUCUGGCAGAUACUGAAUUUUUUCACACCUGGCAAUAAAAAUGGACUCAAGGCAAGUGUUGUUGUGAACUGAAUCUGCAAUGGAUUCCAGCAUUUGGCAAGUGUCUAUCCGCAGGUGUUUAAGCCCCACAGGUAAGUAGCCACUUGAUGAUAAAUAGGCCAAUUUUGGACAACUCCAUAUCUUCAGAUGUUGAAGCUUAACAGGUAAAUCACCUGUUGAUGAUAAAGAUGCUAGAGAACGGCAUCGUUCAAUUAUCAGAUGGCUAAGUAAAGAUCUUCUGCUGAUGUUCAUACCAUCUUCAUCUAAUAAACACUUCAAAUUAUCACAAUUUUUUACCACCAACCCUUUUAGCGUAAGAGGCAAGUUGUCGUGUGAAAAUGACAACAGUUUCGGGCAUUUUACAAUCUCUAGCUCCCUAAGGGAUGUAAGAUUGUACAUAGUUGCAGAUAACUUCUCUAAUUUUUCACAAUGCUUGAUUCUUAGAUGUUCAAGACUGCAAAGUGUUUCCAUUUGUCGCACCUCUUCUUUUUGCUCUCCUAUGGAUAUCCCCAUUGAAACAAGUUGAGAACAGUUCAAGAUUUCCAAAUUCCGGAGGAAACUUGAUUGUGCUAACCAUCCUGCUCCAUUGUGGCACAAGGAAGGAAGCUCUCUACAACCACCGACCCGAAGAAACUCGGUUUGUGAUAAGCCUAACAUCAACCCUUUUAAACAAGAAAACCAUGUGAUAUUUGAGAGAGUGGCCUUCUUGAUUGAGCAAAGGUCAAGAGAGCCAUCAUGUCUCACUCUUUUGCAGCCAACAAUUUCUAUUUCAUACAACCUGGAAUGCUUUGGAACUGAAACUUCCAAUAGUUGACAGUCAUGGAUCACAAGCUUUUCCAAGCAAGGAAGAUAGUUUGGUAAGCUUCCCAACAGUUUGGGGCAUUUCUUGACAGAGAGAUCACGGAGGCAAUUGAAGUUUCCGGUUUUCUCAUCGGCUUGGUAUGUAUUCCACUCCUUCAACUCUGGCAUUUCUUCGAAACGAAGAAUCUCUAAUGCCGGAAAUGCAUUUGAGCAAUUUUCUCCAUAGAACUCAACACCUAUCUUAUUGACAUAAUCCAUUCCUUUGACAUAAAGGGCCUUCAAAAACGGCAGUUGUCCAAGUGCUGGUAAUGAAGUACACUUGUGGCAAUGUUCAAACUCUAAGAACAUUAAAUUUUUUAAUGAACAAUCUCUGACCCAUGUCGGGAAUGUCUGACCACCAUAACACUUGAUGGAGAGUUUCUUAAGUUUCUUAUGCGGUUGAAGUAAGCUCAACACUUCUUUUUCGACUCCUGCGUUUUGUAAAUCACCUUUCACGUCCGCACUCCACUUCAAUUCUAGAUCAUCAAGGCUGAACUUACUGAACAACAUAGCCUCCGUUGCAUCUUGAGCAUUGACAAGAUGUUCCAAUCCUGAGAUAGAAAGUUGACCUUUGAGAUAAGAUAAAUUCUUCAGCUCCCUUAUCUGAUAUCCAACACCUUGGCCUAUAACAAAGUUGGACAAUGACUGGAGACCAAUCAAUUCACCGAUUCCAAACGGCAUCCGUUCAAUUGAAUUUGCAUCAGUAAUAUCAAGAUGCUGUAGAUUGGCUAAAAGUCUCAAAUCAGAUGGUAAGUGUUUAAGGCGAUCGCAGCCUCUCAACAACAAUGUCUGUAAGUUAAAGAGUGUACAUAUAGAUUCAGGGAGGCUUUUGAUUUUAGUGUAAGAGAAGUUAAGGUAGCGGAUAUGUGUCAGAUCACCAAUUGAAUCUGGUAGCUUGGUGAGGUAGUACCCUUCGAGAGAAAGCACUCUUAAGCGUCUCAAUCUCGGCAACAAAUCGAUAAGGACACUGUUAGAUAGGUAGCAGUCUCCAUCAUUUGGCAACAUAAAUGACAUAAAUGUUCGUAAAUGCUCUGCAUCACCGACUGUAUGGAACCUUUUGAAUCCAUUAUACCUACUUCUGAUGAAGGAUGAGUAUCGAGCACAGCUCAAAAUUUUCUCAUCACCCUCUAGUCUAAAGCAUAUGUCUCCUGCAACCGAUCGAGCUAGAUCAUUGAUGAGGUCAUGCAUCAUGAACUGAGAUUUAUUCCUGCUACAUCUUUGAAAGAAAGACCUUGACACAAGAUCUUGAAAGUACAUGCUACCUAGUUUUUUGAUUUGCAGCCUUUUAGUGUUUACUUGUUGCAACAUUCCUUCUGCCAUCCAUAACAGCACUACUUCCUCCUCUCGGAACUCAUAGUCUUUAGGGAUAAUUGAGCAAUACGAAAAACAUUGUUUUAGAUGUUGUGGAAGGUGAUAGUAGCUCAGCCUUAGAGCUGGAAUUAUGCCACUUUGCUCUUCUGAUGAAUUCCAUAUCUCAUUCUCCAAUACAUCUUUCCAUGCAUCUGGAUCAACACGAGUUCGAAGCAGGCCUCCGAUUGUUUUAGCUGCUAAGGGCAAGCCUUUACACUUCUUCACAAUCUGUUCUCCAAGUUCUUUCAAGUCCAAAUGACCACUGAAAUCUUUGGCUCCUAUGGAAUGUUGAGCUAAAAUGAACAAACAAUCAUCAUUUGACAGUUCUUUCAGUGAGUAAUCCGGAACCGUUUUCAUAACUGAUGAGACGUUCUGGUUUCGCGUUGUCACAAGAAUCUUGCUUCUCGAAUCCCCUACUUCGAAAGGAGAUCGAAGGAUGGUCCAAUCAUUGUAACUCAUAUUCCAAAUAUCAUCCAAAACAAGCAGAAAUUUCUUUUUGGACAGCUUCUCCUUCAAUUUGACUUGAAGCAAAUUCAGAUUAUUUACAUCAUUGCAAGAUGCAUCACAAGUGACCGACUGCAAAAUCGAUUUUGUUAUCCUAACGAUAUUGAAAUCUUCAGAAACACACACCCAUGCUUUGACGUCGAAAAGAUCUUGGACCCUAUUAUCAUUGUAAACUAGUUGAGCAAGAGUUGUCUUACCAAUUCCUCCAAUGCCAACAAUGGGGACGACAGAAACUUGAACAUCAGUAUCACCAUCCAUUAAAAGCAAAUCAAUCACUACAUUUUUAUCAUAUUCUCUACCAUAAACAAGAGCUUCAUUCACCAAAGAACUUGUUGGUGGUCUUUCAACUCUCUUAGGCCUACCAACAUCGAACUCUCUUAAUUGCAACUCAUUUUUCCAAGUGACCAAAUCAUCCAAUCUAGAACUAAUGGCUUUAAUCUUGUUCAUCAUCUUAUAUCUAAACAAGAAAGCAUUCGGACCAAAACUUGCAGUGAAGCUAUGAAUGAUCUUCCUUACCUUACUUCGGUGCGCUUGUUGAUCUUUCGUUAACUUGUUACGAAGAGCUUCUGUAGCAAACUCGUCCAAGAUGUCGUCGACAUCGAACGCCAAGUCUCGGAGCUUGGACAACCACAUCUUCACAUGCUGGUCCUUCAAUUGCUUCUCCUCUGCAUCAGCAAGCACUGCAUGGACAGUCCUCAGUACUGUCUCCAGCUUGUUAAGUUCCUUUUGAACCUCUUUUUCAGUGGCGAAGUGGAGGGUAUCAGGAGAGGUUAAGUUGGCAAACAAGGCCUCAAAGAAAGAGGAUAUGGCAAUUUCUCCAGAGAAGUACAUGGCUCAACCUUGAGCAGCACUGAGAUGGGAAUUGAUUGAUAAUUCAACAGUAAGGGGUUGGAUUAAAAGUGUGAAGGGACUUAAGACAGCUAGAAAUUCUGUCAUUUUCUUUUGAGUUUUCUAUAAUACAAAUAUGGAUGGAUGGACCCCCAGUGUUUGAAAGCAAGGGUAAAAAUUGUCAAAGAAUCAAAACUGUGUUGACUUUAGGGAUGAGGAUGCUUCCGCGUAGUAAUGAAUGACCAAAUAAUUUCAAACCAAUUCGAUAGUAACAUUUUGUCACUUUUAAGCAAUUUUUCUCUGGUGACACCAAUGUCAUAUCCUACGCCCAAUACACAAGUCAAUUUGAUGGGGUCCAGGCUUAAACAUUGUAUGAUCCAUCUUUUUGUUUUUAACAAAUUUAAAAUUUAAUUCUUUUUAUUUUUUUAAAAUUAGGUCCAAUUAUUAAUGUUUUAAAUUUCUUUUAGUUAAUUUUAUUGAUGUAACAUUUUAAAAUAAAAAAAGUUACUCACUUGAUCAUAAUGUAAUUAAAAAAGGCAUUGUAAUGUCAGCAACCUUUUAGCCUAGUGAUAAGAGCAUCAUAUUGUAGGCAUAAAAUAAGGGGCUGUGCUAUGGUGUUGCCCCUUUCUAGCUGCUGUUAUAUCUGCUGCCUUGAAGCUCGGAAGUCGCCACCGUCGCCUCCAACUGCCGCUGCCGGCGUCUAGCUCAGGUGAGGCAGUUGCUGCCGUUUUAUUUUUAACCAACUUUUUGUUUGUUUGUUUGCGUUGUAAAAUGUUAACAAAGUUAAGCUGUUUGCUAAUGUAUUUUGACUUCUCCUUUAUGGCUUUAUGUGCUUAUUUUUUUAUGGGAGAGAUGGGGCUAUUUAUUGUAUCCAUUUCCAAUUGGUUUUUCCCAUUUCUAUUAUUUUAUUUUUAUUUUUUAAAAUUUUCCCAUAUUUUACUUAUUUUUUAAAAUUUUAUUUAUUUUAAUAUUUAGACUAACCAAUUCAGUAGUUAAAUUGACCAAAACGAUUAAACUGAAAACCGGUGAUAUGAACGAUUAUAAAUAAUACAAUCUCAUGAUUUUAUUCAAAGAUUAAGUGAAUAUGUACAACUAACCCUAUAUUAUAACAUUUUACUAUAACAACUAAAUUUAUUGUAGAACUAAUUUUUAUGUUUUAUUGUUACCUUUUAUACCACAUUUUCAUAUAUAACAACAAUAUUCAUAAAGUACUAAAUUAAUUAUCUAUAAAAGUCUUAUGUCUCAAAUUUUAAUUAUAUUCUUAAGUGAAAUGAAAAUAAUGAAUUUAAGUUAAAUAUUAUUUCACUUAAUACUUCUUCAUUUUGGCACUGGUCUAUUUUGAUCAAUUUGACUCGUGUGUUUUUAUUUUGUAUAUCCCAUUACUCUAAUUUGAUUUUUCGUUAAAAAAAUUAAACCAACCAUAAUGUGUCAAAAAAAUUACUUAAAAAUUAAUAACAGAAAAUUCAAAUUAUUAAAAAUAAAAAUUAUAAAAGUCCAAUUUUUUUUUAGAAAAUUAUAAAAACUAAAAAAACUAUAAUUUAUUUUUGAAAAUUAUAAAAAUUAUAAGUAUGCAAAAACAAAAAACAGAUUUCAUAACAUUUUAAAAUUUUGUUUGUUUGGAAUUUAUGGAUUUUAAAAAAUUUUAGAAUUUUAUGAAAACUUUUAAAAGUUUUAAGAAUUUCUUUUAUAUAUUUUUAAGAAAUUUCGAGUUUUUUUAGUAAAAAAUAACAUAAAAUUCUUAAAAAAAUUCUGAAAAAAUUUAGAAUUUCAAAUAAACCAUUUGUUUAAACUUUAUGGAAAUUUCUAAUUUUUUAAAAAGUUUUACAUGUAAUUUUAACUUUUUAUAAUUUUUAAAAAUAGAUUAUGAUUUUUUUAUUUUUUAUAAUUUUGUUUUUGGACUUUUUUAGGUAGGUUUUUUUUUUUGGAUUUCUAAUGAUUUUUUUUUAGUUUUGUUAUAUUUUUUAAAAAAUUCAAGUGAAUUUUUCACUUUUUCUUCUACAUGGCGGUCAAUGGUUAGUUUAAUUUUUUUUUUAAAAAAAUUUGGGUUGGGAUAACAUAGAUUACAAAAUUAAAGUACAGGGCUUAAACUGAUAACAAGAAUAAAGUAUAAGAGCCAAACUAAUAAAAAAUAGUAUAAGUACUAAAGUGAUGAUUUAUCUAUAAUAAAAGGGCCAACAGAGAUACUAAGCCAUAUUAUUUCAAGAAAACCUUAAAUUUUAUUAAAAAAUUAUAUUAAUCAUAUUUAUUAAAUAAAAAUAAUAUUAAAUAAUUAGAAUUAAACCUAUAAAAAUUUAUCAUAUUUAUUAAAUAUACUAUCUAACUCUCGUUAAUUAACAAUAGGGUAAACUACACAUGUAAUCACCUAAUUUUCAUAAGUAUCAUUUUAGGAAGAGUGGUUUGUAUCUCUUUUCAUUUUAAUCAUCUUUCCCAAUAAAAGUUAAUGGAAAUCCCACGUGGAAUUCCAACUCCUUUUCCUUUCACUCGGAAAUUUUAUAAUUAAUAAAUAAUUUUUAUAAUUUAUACCAAACUUAAUAAAAUCUUUUUUUUUAUUUCACUUAUUUUCUUCAUCCUCAAGAGCAAAAAGAAAAAUCAAUCUCCCAAGCAUCAAAUCUUGGUCGCCUAUUCACCGUCGCCGUUGGUCUUGAAAUGCCGUCAUCAGGCCACGCUUCGACGAUAACCCACUGUCCAAAGCCACCCAAGACAAAGUCUUUCCUUCUUUUCUUCGCUAUUUCUCUUUUUUUUCUCCUUGAGUCAUCAUAGCCACUAUUGCCCCUCUACCCAAAACUGCUACCCCCAUUAAACCUCCGCCAUCAAACACUGCUUAGAAGCUUUUUUAUAAAAAUCAUUCUAAAAUUUUGAAAUAAUUACAAAAAUAAUCCACUUUUUUUUUAUUAUGUAUAUAAAUGACCUAAAAUGAAUCGUGAAAGUUGGUAAAACCAAAGAGAUUGAUACCACCAACAUGCCAUGUCAGCCAGUCAGAUUAAAAAAAAUCAAUUUUUCUAAUGGAGCCAUAUAGAAAGGCGCCAUUUGUAUAAAUACAAGAGAAAUAUCAUUAUUUUUCAUUAAUAGAACCAUAAAGAAUGGUACUACCACUUUAAUGUGCCAAUUUUUUUAGAAUCGUUUUUUCUUAUUUAAAAAUAAAAUUGAUAUUUUAUUUGGUGGAGCUAUAGAGAAUGACGCCAUCAAUAUUCUAUGUUAGUUUUUUUUAAAUGUAUUUUUUUAAUUUUAAAUUAAAAUUUAUAUUUUAUUUGGUGAAGUAAUUUUCUUUGGCGUAAUUAAAUGACUAUAUAUAACCUCAAUGGUAGUUCACUCUAAGUUGAAAGAGAGAUGAUGAGUGUUUUUUUAUGUUUUAUUCUUUAUGUUUAUUUAGAAAAUUUUAUAAUUUAAAGGUAUGUUUUGUUUAAUGAUAAUCUGGUGGAGCUCCGACACCGACAAAUUUAAUGAUUAUAUUCGACGACAAUCUCAAGUAAAAUUAGGGGUCUCGGUUGCCAGCUAUUUAUUUGGUAAUGGGUUCAAAUUGGUUUUGUAAGUCUUUUCGUUGGCUGUGGUAGGACAAUAAUGGGUUCAAAUUGGUUAUGCAACUAACAAGUGGAUUAUUUGGGAUUCUCUAGGUCAACGGGAUGUUUGAAGGUUUUAAGGAAUCCCAAAUCGAAUUGCACGAGUAAGAUCAUCAAUAUCAGCAGCAUCCGAGCUACAAGAUAAUAGCACCAAAAAACUUGCUCAGUUGACUUGCUCGUGUUGCGGUUAAAUAUUGUAUUUUUCAAUUUGUAAGACACAAUGUUGUUGGUCUUGAACAAAAUCGUUUAAUUAUAUUUUAUCUGUAAGAUAAAAUGUUGUCGACCUUGAACAAAAUCGUUUAAUUAUGUAUUAUUUGUAAGACACACAAUCAUUUAAUUUUUUUUAGUAUUGAAAAAGUUGCUUGUGUUGUAAAAUUAUAUAUUGUAAGUUAAGUGAAAUUAUUUUGGAAUGUUGCAGAUGUAAAAUUAUCUUUUGUAAAAUAUAAUUUGUGAAUUAUGUAAAUUGAUAGUUAUUUAAAAUGUUGGCAAUAUAAACUAAUUUUCAUUUAAAUUAUUUCUGUAAUGUGAAUUAAUAGUUUGAUAAUGGGCAUUUUUAAAAGAAAUAUAAAAAGAGAGGACCAAAAAAUAAAGAAAGUUUGGUAAAAAAUGAGAAAGAAGAAAAAAAGAAAGUGUGAGAGGGAGUUGGCCGAAAAAAGAAUGAGAAAGGAUUGAUUUUAAAAAAAUAUAUAUAUACUAGGGAAUUUUUAAAAGAAAUUUAAAAAAAAAGACCAAAAAAAUAAAUAUGAAAAAGCUUAUUGAUUGGUCACAUCGCAUCAACCGCAUUAGCGACGUGACUAGUCAAGAGAGAGGAUAGUUUCUUCUUUUUAAUGUAAAAAAAGAAAGAAAGAAAAUUUUACUUGUUGUUGAAGUCGGCUGGGCUUUUUUUUAUUAUAAAAAUAACCUUAAAUUUUUGAAUAAAUACAAACAUGACUCUUUUUUUUAUUAUGUACAUAAAUCCCCGCACGACGGUUGAUGCACUUUGUCAUCUAGAAAGCUUUCAAGUUUUGAGAAUAUAGUUCUACAUUCAUCGACCUCGCCCUUCAAGCGUUGUCUUCCAUGACAUUCUUCACAUGUUCGACGUGCACGUGCCUAACAUCCAUUUGUUUUGUUUGUCUCAACCCCAUUUUUGGCAUAAAGGUUGUCAGUCUAUAAAACAUAGCUAAGAACGCGUAUGCCUCAAGAUGGAAUUAAUGACCUUAAUGAGGUUGUCGUCAUAUGACCAUAUCGAUACAUAUCUUCAAAACAUUGAGUCCAUUACCACGACUCCAUGCUACCCAAUCAUUGUUUGAAAGAAAGAUUAAACCCUGCCAUAUCAAUCUCCAACCUCGCCAGCUUAUGUCUGAAUUGAUGCGAUUCCAGUUCGUACCCUACAUAUGUAUUUUGAUAAAACAUGUUACAGUCCUUUUAGUAAAUGGACUCAAAAUAUUUACAAAGACAGUUUUAAUUACAAUAUUUGUACACAUGUUCACGAUUUGUUUGCACCAGUCUUUGUUCUUGUACCAUUGUGGAAGUUGACAGCGUUGUGGCGAAUGCAAUAUACGAACAUCCACGGAACCUUGGAUCGACGGAUCGCAGCAACAAGACCCUUGGAUUUGUUAGAGACAAUGCAAUUGUUGUCUUGCUUGACAACAUGCCUCCGCAAGUUUCUAAUGAAAAAUUCCUACGAUUCGAAGUUCUACAACUCCACGAUGGCGAAAGUGAUCGAUAGUACAUUUCGAUUACCGUCUUCUGCAACUGCAAUCAGUAAUAUCUAUAUGUAUUUUUCAUAAAACCAUGUUCGAUCAACCUGCACAAAGGUUUCAGUGGGAGAAGGCCCUAAUGUCACAAAAGCCACUUUUUGCUGCUUGUAAAGUGUAAAUAAAAUCCCUUAAAUUUUCUAUUAAAUUGACAAGCAGAAGUUCAUGAGCGCGCACACACACAAGAGAAAUGAAAAACCCAAAUUUUUUUCCUAUAGAUUUUCAAAUAAAGCUUGACCCUUGUGUUGAAAAUAUGAUGAAAGUGGACAAAAUAUUACUUAUAGACCACAUAAUUUUAUGUAGCAUAAAUUAAUAAAGUAUUAAACUUUGUAUAAAUAUAUAAUACUUUUAAAAAUAUUUUAAUAUAAAAAUUUAAUAUAAAUAUAUAAGGCGAAUAAUAUACAUGAAAAUGAUACAAAUAGAUAUAAUUAUUCAUAUGUCACUCCACUUCACUUGAAAGGUUUCCCCACUUCUAUAUAAUUAUACAUAUAUACAAUGUAUAAACAUACACUCCAAUCCACUUAAAAGGCAAGCUUCCCACUUCUAUUCUAUCAUUCUAAACCAUCAAACAAAUUUAAACAUUCCAAUAAAACUAUGAAAACCCACAUAUUUUCUCUGGUUUUCUUCUAGUUUUCAGUCACCCAAGGAUUGAACCCCAAAUGUGAGACCCAAGACCAAGGUUCAAACUUCCAAGUGUUCCAUAUUUACAGUCCCUGCUCACCCUUCAAGCCUUCAAAGCCACUGUCAUGGGAAGAAGAUGUGCUCCAAACAUAAGCCAAGGACCAAGCCAGGCUCCAAUAUUUGUCAAGCCUGGUGGCUAAGAAACCUGUGGUGCCGAUAGCUUCUGGCAGACAGAUUGUGCAAAGUCCCACUUAUAUCGUGAGGGCCAACAUUGGAACCCCACCUCAAACCUUGCUUAUGGCAUGGAUACUAGCAAUGAUGCCGCUUGGGAUACCUUGCACUGGCUGCCUUGGCUGCUCUUCUACUGUAUUUGACAAUGCUAAAUCCACCACUUUCCAGUCCCUCGGCUGCCAAGCUCCUCAAUGCAAGCAGGU
rnacentral:lncRNA from 1 species